UGGGACGGGGCGCAGCAGGCGCGAAACCUCCACAAUUCACGAAAGUGAGAUGGGGCUAUCUCGAGUGCCGUCUAAAAAAGGCGGCUUUUCCAUUGUGUAACUAGCCGUGGGAAUAAGGGGGGGGCAAGACUGGUGUCAGCCGCCGCGGUAACACCAGCCCCCCGAGUGGUGGGGAUGAUUAUUUGGCCUAAAGCGUCCGUAGCCGGCUCAUUAAAUCUCCCGUUAAAUCCAGCGUCCUAAGCGUUGGGCUGCGAGAGACACUGUUGAGCUAGAGGGUGGGAGAGGUCAGCGGUAUUUCUGGGGUAGGGGCGAAAUCCAUUGAUCCCAGGAGGACCACCAGUGGCGAAGGCUGCUGACUAGAACACGCCUGACGGUGAGGGACGAAAGCUGGGGUAGCGAAUCGGAUUAGAUACCCGAGUAGUCCCAGCCGUAAACGAUGCAGGCUAGGUGUUGGGUUGGCCACGCGCCAGCUCAGUGCCACAGGGAAGCCAUUAAGCCUGCCGCCUGGGGAGUACGGCCGCAAGGCUGAAACUUAAAGGAAUUGGCGGGGGAGCACCACCAGGCGUGAAGCCUGCGGUUUAAUUGGAGUCAACGCCGGGAAUCUUACCGGGAGCGACAGCAGAGUGAAGGCCAGGUUGAAGGUCUUGCCGGACGAGCUGAGAGGAGGUGCAUGGCCGUCGCCAGUUCGUGCCGUGAGGUGUCCUCUUAAGUGAGGUAACGAACGAGACCCGCGCCCCAUGUUGCCAUCAAAUCCUAAAGGGAUGUUGAGCACUCUUGGGGGACCGCAGCCGACAAGGCUGAGGAAGGUGCGGGCCACGGCAGGUCAGUAUGCCCCGAAUCUCCCGGGCCACACGCGGGCUGCAAUGGUAGUGACAGAGGGCUGCAACUCCGAGAGGAGGAGCCAAUCCCUAAACACUACCUCAGUUGGGAUCGAGGGCUGCAACCCGCCCUCGUGAACAUGGAAUGCCUAGUAACCGCCGGUCAUCAUCCGGCGGUGAAUACGUCCCUGCUCCUUGCACGAAUUCGCCGA
rnacentral:rRNA from 1 species